rfam:Gongylonema pulchrum genome assembly, scaffold: GPTH_scaffold0007972
CCAACGGCCCUCUUUAGGGCCACAGAUCUGUGAGUCAUGCUCUCUUU